rnacentral:tRNA from 7 species
GGGCGGGUAGCUCAGCUGGAAGAGCGCCACGCUUACACCGUGGAUGUCACAGGUUCGAGCCCUGUCCCGCCUACCA